rnacentral:rRNA from 1 species
UACGGAGGGUGCAAGCAUUAAUCGGAUUUAUUGGGCGUAAAGGGCGCGUAGGCGGUAUUGUAAGUCAGAUGUGAAAUCCCGGGGCUCACCCCCGGAACUGCAUUUGAAACUACAAUUCUAGAGGGUAGGCGGAGAAAAUGGAAUUCCACAAGUAGCGGUGAAAUGCGUAGAUAUGUGGAAGAACACCAGUGGCGAAGGCGGUUUUCUAGCUUAUUCCUGACGCUAAAGCGCGAAAGCAAGGGGAGCAAACAGG